GCAUUCUCGGAGGCAGCCACCAUCCCCCAUCCCAAGUCCGCGCGCCUGUUGGUGCUAGAGAAAAAGGACGAUGCAGUCCUGAAACCCAUGGGCGAAUGAAGACAGCUCCCCAGAUGGCCCCUAAACGAACCGCAAGCAGUGUUUAUCAGGAGCCCUAGAAAUCAUGACCUGUGGGAUUUUAAUUCCCGGACCAGAGAUCAAAUUUACAUUCCUGUGAUGAAAGUGCCUCAGCUUAACCACUGAACCACGAUGGAAGCUCCUGCGGUUUGCAUUCUAAGGAAAGCGUGCUUUGACCACCCCAUCUCUAUCUCCCAGCACCAGUAUUUUCUCUAUUAGCAUUUGUCCCCCUGCUGUGUAGUCUUGUUGAUUACUUAGCUCUCCACUGCUACCUAGUCUGUUAGGUCGCCUAAAUUAAAACUCACUUUUAUUUUCCUUA